rnacentral:lncRNA from 1 species
UUUAUCCAUUUUGAUCUGCACGAAAACAAUACAAUUUUAUUGAUAUUCAGAAUAUGUAACAAUCGCAAUCUCAAGUAAUCUAGCGAGUGAACUGUAAGAUAGGGUCCAUGACAGUGAGUUGGGAGUGUUGAUGAAAUGUUAACGUCACUUUCUUUCUGUAACACAAACGAAAAAGAUUAAAAGGUUUUAUACGCUAGUGACUUUAUUGGCGUGAUGAUCAACUUUUAGAUUGGGUCACGAUCAUAAACUUUUUCUAUAAUAUAAAUGAUAAUCAAACAUGAAAUGAUUAGUGAGUAUAUGGGAACAACUAUAUAGUAUCCCUAUUCCCUGUAUAUAUACCAAAAUAUAUAG